UACGGGAGGCAGCAGUGGGGAAUAUUGCACAAUGGGCGAAACCCUGAUGCAGCAACGCCGCGUGAGGGAAGAAGGUUUUCGGAUUGUAAACCUCUGUCCUAGGUGAAGAUAAUGACGGUAGCCUAGGAGGAAGCUCCGGCUAACUACGUGCCAGCAGCCGCGGUAAU
rnacentral:rRNA from 1 species